rnacentral:rRNA from 1 species
UACGUAGGGGGCAAGCGUUGUCCGGAAUCAUUGGGCGUAAAGCGCUCGUAGGUGGAUCGGUAAGUCUGCAAAGAAAGACCCGGGCUCAACUCGGGGAACGGUGUGGAUACUACCGAUCUUGAGGCAAUCAGAGGAUGAUGGAAUUCCCGGUGUAGCGGUGAAAUGCGUAGAUAUCGGAAGGAACACCUGUGGCGAAAGCGGCUCACUGGACCAUUACUGACGCUGAGGCACGAAAGCUAGGGGAGCAAACAGG